UACAGAGGGUGCAAGCGUUAUCCGGAUUCACUGGGUUUAAAGGGUGCGUAGGCGGAUAGGUAAGUCCGUGGUGAAAUCCUGCAGCUUAACUGCAGAACUGCCAUGGAUACUAUCUAUCUUGAAUGUCGUGGAGGUUAGCGGAAUAUGUCAUGUAGCGGUGAAAUGCUUAGAGAUGACAUAGAACACCCAUUGCGAAGGCAGCUAACUACGCGAUAAUUGACGCUGAUGCACGAAAGCGUGGGGAUCAAACAGG
rnacentral:rRNA from 1 species